ACCUUAAAACUAGCCUACCUUCCCCUCAACAUAACAUUAUAAAUUAAUAUACCCUAAAAUUGAUUAAUUAAAACAUUUUUUACCUCUUAGUAUAGGUGAUAGAACCGAAAAU
rnacentral:rRNA from 1 species